rnacentral:rRNA from 1 species
AUUGAACGCUGGCGGCAGGCCUAACACAUGCAAGUCGAACGGUAACAGGAAGAAGCUUGCUUCUUUGCUGACGAGUGGCGGACGGGUGAGUAAUGUCUGGGAAACCGCCUGAUGGAGGGGGAUAACUACUGGAAACGGUAGCUAAUACCGCAUAACGUCGCAAGACCAAAAAGGGGGACCUUCGGGCCUCUUGCCAUCGGAUGUGCCCAGAUGGGAUUAGCUAGUAGGUGGGGUAACGGCUCACCUAGGCGACGAUCCCUAGCUGGUCUGAGAGGAUGACCAGCCACACUGGAACUGAGACACGGUCCAGACUCCUACGGGAGGCAGCAGUGGGGAAUAUUGCACAAAGGGCGCAAGCCUGAUGCAGCCAUGCCGCGUGUAUGAAGAAGGCCUUCGGGUUGUAAAGUACUUUCAGCGGGGAGGAAGGGAGUAAAGUUAAUACCUUUGCUCAUUGACGUUACCCGCAGAAGAAGCACCGGCUAACUCCGUG